GUACGCUGGAUCGUACGGCAGGGCGAAGUCCAGGAGAGGCCACUGCGCCACCGUCUCCAGCAGUUCCGACUUCGCGAUCGCCAGGUGUUUUAUGGGGACCUCCACCCGAGAUGUUAAAUAUGAUCAAUUUGCCGCGAUCGAUGCGUCACUCUUACCCGAGCCCCGAUAGAUGAAAUUGCACUCCUAACGAGCGUGUAAUGGACUCGACAGCGACCAGGGAUUUUCUUUGAUCCGUCAGGAUGUGGAUCGAUAUAUCGGCGGUAAUUAAUUAUCGGUCAACCUCGACUCGCAAUUAAAUCCAGAGGCCAAGAAUCUACGUUCGGAAAUUUAUUGGAAGGUGAAGCGUGAGACAACGAGCUGCUCUUUUGCCGACUACUCGGAGAGGAGAUCCUUCCUUUGCGGCGGACAUCGCCUCCCGAAACCUUUUAUACUUCACGAGGAAGAUCGAAUGGUACGCUUUCCCGGAGCACAGAGGUCGGAUAAUUGCCGGCGAUCUCACCUCAUUUCCACGAUAUUGGGAGAUCGGACCGAAGAGGAGCACUUCUUCGUUCGCAACGUACGUCGUCGAGCCGUAUCGCGCCGUGGAGAACGACUCGUUUCUACAGACCGGGGGAACCGAUUUGGCCUCCUAGUCUUCGACUUGGAAGUUGGGUCUCCGAGAGACGGGAGACGACUGCACCUAUAGUUCGCGAGGUUCUCCCUAUGAGAUCGUAGGCGCGUUCACGGGAGUAUGUACGCGUAGAGCACACGCGUUGGAGGUUCAUAUACGUACGUAGAAGCCGCGGCGCGUACCCUCUCCCAGAAAACUCGACCGGGGGUAGAAUCGUACGUUCCGCGUCGACGCAAGUCAGACGGAGAAAACCGUUCCCGACGCGUGUUCUGUUCGCUCGUAAUUAACGCGGUAGUUUAUAAGGACCGCCCGAGACGGCGAAAAAUCACGCACGGUGCGCUGAAUUACGUUCGCGCGGAACGCUUUUUCCGUAUCGUGCGUAAUUAUUGUAGAAAGUUGACAUUCGGUCACGCGGAAUAGCGCGGCCUAGAUCGUAUCUAUGUCCAGCUCGGAGACUUUAACGAGCGACCGACGUCGGUCGCGUCGCCGAAGAUCUCCAGGAGUUCAAGACCAUCGGGCCAAGGAAAGGCGGGUCUAGGUCGGUCAGAUAUUGGACGGACCUUAUGCGAUCGGACCGGUUAUGGGGACAGCUUUUUUUCCCGGAUACCAUUAACCACCUUCUCAUUUGGUGCAAACGGUGCGGCCAUUUUCUAGCGAGCGAACGGAGCGUGGGCGAAAUAAGUCGAUCUCGGCUCUUUAAAAACGAUUACUUUCUAUUGGCAAUUAAGCCGUGUAUCGGCCGAGAUCUGCGUAUCAAAACGUCAGGCCGGCAGUGAAUAUAAUGACACCCCUAA